rnacentral:piRNA from 1 species
UAGCUCUGGAAGAACUCGAAUACUUGG